UACAGGGCCUGAGCGCCGUCGCCGAACACCGUCCGGAGCGAAGCUGGCGGCCGCACAGCUGCGACAGGGCGCAAUCGCCGGCAGCCUGCGGCCUCCGACCCGGCUGGCUGCUGGCGGAGCCACGCCUCCUCGGCGAGGCCUUGCCCACCGUGCUGACCGGCCCGGAGCGGAUCGAGUCGGGCUGGUGGGAUGGCGAAGACAUCCGCCGCGACUAUUACCUGGUGGAAACCCGCAGCGGACAACGUGCCUGGGUCUAUCGCGAGGUCGGCAGCGAAGGGCCGCUGUGGCUGCAUGGCUGGUUCGCAUGAGCGCCUACGCCGAACUGCAUUGCCUGUCCAACUUCAGUUUCCAGCGCGGCGCCUCCAGCGCCGCGGAACUCUUCGCCCGUGCAGCGCGCCUGGGCUAUCGGGCCCUGGCGAUCACCGACGAAUGCAGCCUGGCCGGUAUCGUGCGGGCCUGGCAGGCGGCGCGGGAGCAUCAGGUACAACUGAUCGUCGGCAGCGAAAUCCGCCUCGAACAGGGGCCCAAGCUGGUCCUCCUGGCGCAGGACCUGGAGGGCUACCAGAACCUCUGACGCCUCAUCACCCGCGGCCGGCGACAAGCCGACAAGGGCCACUACCGGCUGCUGCGCGAAGACCUGCAACAGCCGCUCGCCGGCCUGUUGGCGAUCUGGUUGCCGAACGACCAUGGGGACGAGCAGGCUGCCUGGCUCCGCGAACGCUUCCCCCAGCGCCUUUGGCUGGGCGUCGAGUUGCAUCGCGGCGCCGAUGACGAUGCCCGCCUGGACAAACUGCUCGCCCUCGCCUCGCAUCUCCGGCUACCGCCCGUGGCCUGCGGCGACGUCCACAUGCACGCCCGCGGCAGGCGAGCCCUGCAGGACUGCAUGACAGCGAUCCGCAACCAUCUGCCGGUCAGCGAGGCCGGCGCCUAUCUCUUCCCCAACGGGGAACGCCACCUGCGUACCCUGGAGGCCCUGCUGGGGAUCUACCCGCAAGCCCUGCUGGCGGAAACCCUGAAGAUCGCCGAACGCUGCCGGUUCGAUCUGGAACAGCUGAAAUACCAGUAUCCACGCGAAUUGGUACCGGCCGGACACGACCCGGCGUCAUGGCUCCGCCAUCUCACCGAACAGGGCAUCGCCAGGCGCUGGCCGAACGGCGCGAGCGCCAAGGUCCGCAAGCAGAUCGAGAGAGAACUCGAGCUGAUCGCCGAACUGGGCUAUGAAAGCUAUUUCCUCACCGUGCAGGACAUCGUCGCCUUCGCCCGGGGCCGGGAAAUCCUUUGCCAGGGCCGCGGCUCGGCGGCCAAUUCGGCAGUGUGCUUCGCCCUCGGCAUCACCGAGUUGGACCCGGACCGGACCAACCUGCUGUUCGAGCGCUUCCUUUCCCGCGAGCGCAACGAACCACCGGACAUCGACGUGGAUUUCGAACACGAGCGCCGCGAGGAGGUCAUCCAGUACGUUUUCACACGCUACGGACGCCAGCGCGCGGCGCUGACCGCGGUGGUCAGCACCUACCACGGCGCCGGCGCGGUGCGCGACGUAGCCAAGGCCCUGGGUCUGCCGCCCGAGCAGGUCGACGUCCUGGCCAACUGCUGCGGCCGCUGGAGCGACCAGGCCCCCAGCGCCGAACGCCUGGAAGAGGCCGGCUUCGAUCCGCAGAGUCCGAUCCUGCGCCGGGUGCUGGCCCUGACCGACGAGUUGAUCGGUUUUCCGCGCCACCUCUCGCAGCACCCCGGCGGCUUCGUCAUCUCCGAACAGCCAUUGGACACCCUGGUCCCGGUGGAGAAUGCCAGCAUGGCCGAGCGCACGGUGAUCCAGUGGGACAAGGACGAUCUCGACGCGGUCGGCCUGCUCAAGGUCGACGUCCUCGCCCUGGGCAUGCUCAGCGCCCUGCGCCGCAGCUUCGACCUGAUCCACGCGCUGCGCGGCGGCAAGCGGUUGAGCAUCGCCAGUAUCCCGAGCGAAGACCCGGCCACCUACGAAAUGAUCAGCCGCGCCGAUACCAUCGGUGUGUUCCAGAUCGAAUCGCGCGCACAGAUGGCCAUGCUGCCACGCCUGCGCCCGCAGAAGUUCUACGACCUGGUGAUCCAGGUCGCCAUCGUCCGGCCGGGGCCGAUCCAGGGCGACAUGGUGCAUCCUUACCUGCGCCGGCGAAACGGUGAAGAGCCGGUGGCCUAUCCAUCGGCCGAACUGGAGAAGGUCUUCGAACGUACCCUGGGCGUCCCGUUGUUCCAGGAACAGGUCAUGGAACUGGCGAUCGUCGCCGCCGACUACACGCCGGGCGAGGCGGACGAACUGCGUCGUUCGAUGGCCGCCUGGAAGCGUCAUGGCGGCCUGGAACACCACCGCGAGCGGCUGACCCGGGGCAUGCUCGCCAAGGGCUACGAGGCCGACUUCGCAGCGCGCAUCUUCGAGCAGAUCAAAGGCUUCGGCAGCUACGGUUUCCCUGAAUCCCACGCCGCCAGCUUCGCCCUGCUCACCUACGCCAGCAGUUGGCUGAAACGUCACGAGCCGGCGGCCUUCGCCUGCGCCUUGAUCAACAGUUGGCCGAUGGGCUUCUACAGCCCCGACCAGUUGCUCCAGGACGCCCGCCGCCACGCCCUGCAGACACGCCCGGUGGAUGUCCGCCACAGCGGUUGGGAUUGCAGCCUGGAGCCGUUCGGCCAGGCGCAACCGGCCAUACGCCUCGGCCUGCGGAUGAUCCGAGGCUUUCGCGAGGAGGAUGCCAGGCGUAUCGAGCAGGUCCGGGAGGCCCAGCCGUUCCUCGACGUGCACGAUCUCGGCCGACGCGCCAGGCUCGACGCCCGGGCCCUGGAGUUGCUGGCCGAUGCCGGCGCCCUGCGCGGUCUCGCCGGACACCGGCACAAGGCGCGCUGGGCCGUCGCCAGCGUCGAGCCGCAAUUGCCACUGUUCGCCGAAGGGACCGUCAUCGAAGAAACCACGGUCAGCCUGCCGCUGCCUUCGCGCGGCGAGGAACUGCUGAGCGAUUACGCUCUCCUCGGCACCACCCUCGGCCCGCAUCCGCUGAAACUUUUGCGUGGACAGCUCAAGGCCCGCCGCUGCCGCGACUCCCGCGAACUGGCGAAACUGGGACAUGGGCGACCGAUACGGGUCGCCGGCCUGGUGGUCGGCCGGCAGCGCCCACAGACCGCCAGCGGCAUCACCUUCAUCACCCUGGAGGACGAGUUCGGCAUGCUCAACGUGGUGGUCCGGCACGACCUCGCCGAACGGCAGAGGCGGCCAUUCCUCGAGUCCCGGCUGCUGCAGGUGGAGGGCAUCCUGGAGUCCUCCGGCGAGGUGCGCCACGUCAUCGCCGGGCGCCUGCAUGACCUGAGUCCUCUACUCACCGGCCUGGACGUCCGCAGCCGGGAUUUCCAUUGAGACAAAGAAAAAGGCAGCUCGAGAGACGAGCUGCCUUGGGAUGGCCAACAGGGAUGGCCACGAAGGGGGGAGCGCUCAAGAUACUGUUUAUUCAUACAGUAAAUCAAGCGAUUCCCUUCAUCGGAAGCCACCUUUCGUCUUUCUCCUCGAAGCGAGGCUCUAACUCGCGGAUCGGGAUCGGUACGGCGAACGCAAGAGCGCCAGCGCCAUGCGGAUCCCCCCGGACUCUCGCUACGCUAGACGCGAAAGAGGACAUGCCAGGAGGGUUUCGGCAAGGUGAACAGGAAGCACGCCCCCACGCCGAAAGACCAAGGGUUCCUGCGCAACGUUAAUCGACGCAGGGUUAGUCGGUUCCUAAGGCGAGGCUGAAAAGCGUAGUCGAUGGGAAACAGGUUAAUAUUCCUGUACUUCUGGUUACUGCGAUGGAGGGACGGAGAAGGCUAGGCCAGCUUGGCGUUGGUUGUCCAAGUUUAAGGUGGUAGGCUGAAAUCUUAGGUAAAUCCGGGGUUUCAAGGCCGAGAGCUGAUGACGAGUCGUCUUUUAGAUGACGAAGUGGUUGAUGCCAUGCUUCCAAGAAAAGCUUCUAAGCUUCAGGUAACCAGGAACCGUACCCCAAACCGACACAGGUGGUCGGGUAGAGAAUACCAAGGCGCUUGAGAGAACUCGGGUGAAGGAACUAGGCAAAAUGGCACCGUAACUUCGGGAGAAGGUGCGCCGGCUAGGGUGAAGGAUUUACUCCGUAAGCUCUGGCUGGUCGAAGAUACCAGGCCGCUGCGACUGUUUAUUAAAAACACAGCACUCUGCAAACACGAAAGUGGACGUAUAGGGUGUGACGCCUGCCCGGUGCCGGAAGGUUAAUUGAUGGGGUUAGCGCAAGCGAAGCUCUUGAUCGAAGCCCCGGUAAACGGCGGCCGUAACUAUAACGGUCCUAAGGUAGCGAAAUUCCUUGUCGGGUAAGUUCCGACCUGCACGAAUGGCGUAACGAUGGCGGCGCUGUCUCCACCCGAGACUCAGUGAAAUUGAAAUCGCUGUGAAGAUGCAGUGUAUCCGCGGCUAGACGGAAAGACCCCGUGAACCUUUACUGUAGCUUUGCACUGGACUUUGAGCCUGCUUGUGUAGGAUAGGUGGGAGGCUUUGAAGCGUGGACGCCAGUUCGCGUGGAGCCAUCCUUGAAAUACCACCCUGGCAUGCUUGAGGUUCUAACUCUGGUCCGUGAUCCGGAUCGAGGACAGUGUAUGGUGGGCAGUUUGACUGGGGCGGUCUCCUCCUAAAGAGUAACGGAGGAGUACGAAGGUGCGCUCAGACCGGUCGGAAAUCGGUCGCAGAGUAUAAAGGCAAAAGCGCGCUUGACUGCGAGACAGACACGUCGAGCAGGUACGAAAGUAGGUCUUAGUGAUCCGGUGGUUCUGUAUGGAAGGGCCAUCGCUCAACGGAUAAAAGGUACUCCGGGGAUAACAGGCUGAUACCGCCCAAGAGUUCAUAUCGACGGCGGUGUUUGGCACCUCGAUGUCGGCUCAUCACAUCCUGGGGCUGAAGCCGGUCCCAAGGGUAUGGCUGUUCGCCAUUUAAAGUGGUACGCGAGCUGGGUUUAGAACGUCGUGAGACAGUUCGGUCCCUAUCUGCCGUGGACGUUUGAGAUUUGAGAGGGGCUGCUCCUAGUACGAGAGGACCGGAGUGGACGAACCUCUGGUGUUCCGGUUGUCACGCCAGUGGCAUUGCCGGGUAGCUAUGUUCGGAAAAGAUAACCGCUGAAAGCAUCUAAGCGGGAAACUUGCCUCAAGAUGAGAUCUCACUGGGAACUUGAUUCCCCUGAAGGGCCGUCGAAGACUACGACGUUGAUAGGCUGGGUGUGUAAGCGUUGUGAGGCGUUGAGCUAACCAGUACUAAUUGCCCGUGAGGCUUGACCAU
rnacentral:rRNA from 1 species